GACGAACGCUGGCGGCGUGCUUAACACAUGCAAGUCGAACGCAGUGGCGCACGGGUGAGUAACGCGUAUUCAACCUGCCCUUCAGAGGGGGAUAACAGUUGGAAACGACUGCUAAUACCGCAUACUGAAGGAGGGGAUUGCGUCUGAUUAGCUAGUUGGAGAGGUAACGGCCCACCAAGGCGAUGAUCAGUAGCCGGUAUGGGAGGAUUAACGGCGACAUGUGGACUGAGACACGGCCCAGACUCCGACGGGAGGCAGCAGUUGGUAAGCGUCCGGAAGUGACGAAAGGCUGACGGAGCAACGCCGCGUGAGUGAUGACGGCCUUCGGGUUGUAAAGCUCUGUUAGUCGGGACGCGGUACCGGAAUAGAAAGCCACGGCUAACUACGUGCCAGCAGCCGCGGUAAUAC
rnacentral:rRNA from 1 species